GCUUCUCUCAGCACCCAGUUGGAUAUUCAACAGACAUUCGCAACAAGGUAAAGAGAAGAGGGGUCCUCAAAUGACCACACUACACAUGGUAAAACCUACUAAAGCUUGCUGGAGCAAGCCACUGACUCGAUCACAGAGUAAACUGGUGUGGUGAACUGGAAAGCAUUUAAUGCGAACUACAGAACCCUGUACACGAUUCCUUACUCAAUAUCCAGAUGCCUCCAGUGUGACACCUUGUACAAGAAUCAUGGAGCAGGCUACAGAGGUAGAGGAAAAAGAGGCGUGUUGCAGGGGUUUUACUCCUGUGAUGACUGCAAGGGAUUUUGUGGAAUCGACACAUCGCUUUCAUGAGGCUGGAGGAAAAGUAAUCUAAUUUGAAAUAGACGUUUUUAUUACACGCCUUUUAGAAUAUUUUGCACAUAAACUGAGAAUUAGUUUUUUGGAAUGUAGCUAUGCGAUCAAUAAACUGAGCCUAAUGAUGUUUUUGUAGCUAUGCGAUCAAUAAACUGAUCCUAAUGUUGUUUUUGUAGCUAUGCAAUCAAUAAACUGAUCCUAAUGUUGGUUUUGUAGCUAUGCGAUCAACAAACUAAUCCUAAUGUUGUUGUUUUUUUGUCAGCUUUAUUUCUUGUAUAUUAAUUUCUACUUUUUAGUUUCUGUUUUUAUUAAAUAAAAAAUAAAGAGUUGGUGUCAAAACAGAGUGUUACCACUUUUUAAAAAAAUCAACUCCUACAGUGUUUUGUUAGUGGAGUUUGUUAACUCCUAGGGUGUUAAAUAGAGAAGACCUCCCACAGCACACAAUGAACCGUGUUUUUGGAUGAUGCAGUUCAAGCAGAAGGUCAUCUCUUUCACUGUAAAUGGUACGUAAACGUUCAAUAAAUACAAUUUUGAUCAAUAACAUUUGAGAGUUGUGAGGUGUUAUGUUUUAUACUGCUGUUAGUAUGAAGUUUAACAUUAAGAGUCAUGUGUUAUUGUAAUUAUAUGAAUUCCGCUGUUGAGUUUAGGUCUUAGCUUCAGAUGGAGCAAUUCAUACUCAUAAUGUUUUGGGGAGUUUUUUGUUGUUUUUUGCUUUAUAUGCUGUUUUAGUAAAAAAAAAAAAUUUGAAUCCGUUAAUUUGUGCAGGAGAUUUGCUUUGGGGACUUUGGAGGAGCACAGAAAUAGGCCUACAUGAAAAUUUCUUCAGACGAAAAGCAAUUUCAUAACAAAAAACUUCAAUAUCCAGUCUGAAGGUCUUACUGAGGACCUUACAGCUACUGGUUCAUCAUAUUCUGCUGUUAUUAUGUGAAGACAAACAUGGAUUUUGGAUUGAAAUGAAGUCAAACUUGUUUGUAUGAACUGAAGCAUCCCAUAAACAGUGUUUAUAAAUAUCUGUACUGUUGUUAUACAUUGGGAAUGUACUUUUUAGUUGUCUCGGGUGUUAAUAUGUUAAUUUAAUGAACACUUAAAUGCAUGAUACAUUGAGGACAAUUUUUCUGUCAUAAAUAAAUGUUGAUCAGAUGGCAUAUAAAAUUUAAAACCUGAACAGUUUUAUAAUGAGAACGAUAGAUUUUACUGUCGUAUUGUUACAUUAAAAAAACUGUUUAAAAAUAAAAAAGUUUGUCCCAAAAGUACCGUAAUAUGUUUCUGUCUUUACAUUUACCAUAUUAACACCAUAGUAUUAAAAAAUAUAACACUACAUUGGAGUUAACAAAUUAC